GUGGGGGUGGGCAGGCUGGAGUAGACAGGAACCACGAGAGGCAGGGAGGACUGUACAGGGGUUGCUGACCAGGUGGAAGAUGAUGGGAGCCUCAGAAGGUGUCGUGGGACAGGGUCAGGGAGAGGGCUCUAUGCGGCCAGGAUCUGGAUGCAGAUUGUUGAGACUGAAAUUUGGCUCAGAUCCCUUCUAGUUGUGUCUGUUUAUCUUCAGUUUCCUUGUCUAUAAAAUGGGGAGAGAUUGUGUGUCCCCGGCAUCACUGGACUGUUAAUAGCUAUUGCAUUUAUAGCAUUUAUCCCAGAACCUGAAACACAGUAAAUGCUCAGUAAGUGUUAUUAUUUGCCCCAAACUGUCUUAGUGCUUUCCCCAAGAGCUUUGUGUUGUUUGUACUAUGAGGAAUAAUGAGGGUGGUGUGGGAGUCGGCCUCUGUGUCUGCAGAGAGGACCACAGGCCACAGGAAUAGAGACAGGUAGAUAGGAUCAAGGUGACAGGAACAGAUGUUCAGAGCAAGAGAUGAAGACGGCAUCAUCAACCCAGACAAGCCAGUUGGAGGCAUCUGUCCACCCAUGUGGUUCCAGACACGUUCAUGUGGCCACCAUGACCCCGUCGGCAUCACAGGGGUAACCAAGGUCCACAGAACGAGGGGAAAGGGUCACUGUGGAUCAAGCCAGGCUCCUCUGAGCAGUCCAGGGUCUAUUUACAGAGAGCAGCAAGUUCCUGGGACAGAGGAGACAGAAGGGAAUUUCCAGGUUCUUCAGGACGUUCACAACCACACUGAGAAGCAUCUUUGCAGAUAAGUAUUUAAACUUACCAGCCCAUAGCCUACCAGCCUGCCCUCUUCUGGUCUGUGCAGGAAAGUGUAGUAUCCUAGAAUGCCAAAGUGGGAGGGGAAAUGGGUGAUGUAGCUCAUUCUCUUUUCUACCUCUAUGGAAGAAAGAAAGAGCCUGUCCCCAUUUUGUGGGGUCCCAGAAAGGGUGAUUUUCACACUUCACAUUUGGCGUUAGGGCUAGUAUUUCACAAACAUUACCGUCUGGAACUUUUGAAGGCUGAGUUAAAUGACUUCAUCUUGUGUACUUGUAGAACUGCUAUUAGAAGGAGGCUGGGGACUCCCUGAUGAUGUGAACCAGCCCUUCUCUUCUCAGUUUCAGCACUUUGUGAUCAUAUUUAUAAACCUUGGACAGGGCUCCUUGGCCUUAGAGUUAAGUGAAGAGUUAACACUGUGACUUUAGAUGCAUUUUUCUCAGUGUAAGUGUCUGAGCUCAUCUCCAGUUCUGGACUCGUGCCCCCACUCCCGGGUGCUGACAGCAAGCUCUGAAGAUAUGCUGAGAGAGCUCCCUGACUCUCCUGACUCAGGUCUGCCAGUUGAUGAAGACAGCACAGUUGUUACCAAAAA
rnacentral:lncRNA from 1 species